rnacentral:rRNA from 1 species
GUGGGGAAUUUUGGACAAUGGGCGCAAGCCUGAUCCAGCAAUGCCGCGUGCAGGAAGAAGGCCUUCGGGUUGUAAACUGCUUUUGUACGGAACGAAACGGUCCGGGUUAAUACCCUGGGCUAAUGACGGUACCGUAAGAAUAAGCACCGGCUAACUACGUGCCAGCAGCCGCGGUAAUACGUAGGGUGCAAGCGUUAAUCGGAAUUACUGGGCGUAAAGCGUGCGCAGGCGGUUUUGUAAGACAGGCGUGAACUCCCCGGGCUCAACCUGGGAAUUGCGCUUGUGACUGCAAGGCUGGAGUGCGGCAGAGGGGGAUGGAAUUCCGCGUGUAGCAGUGAAAUGCGUAGAUAUGCGGAGGAACACCGAUGGCGAAGGCAAUCCCCUGGGCCUGCACUGACGCUCAUGCACGAAAGCGUGGGGAGCAAACAGGAUUAGAUACCCCUGUAGUCC